rnacentral:rRNA from 1 species
GAUGAACGCUGGCGGCGUGCCUAAUACAUGCAAGUCGAGCGAACAGAUGAGGAGCUUGCUCCUCUGACGUUAGCGGCGGACGGGUGAGUAACACGUGGAUAACCUACCUAUAAGACUGGGAUAACUUCGGGAAACCGGAGCUAAUACCGGAUAAUAUAUUGAACCGCAUGGUUCAAUAGUGAAAGUCGGUGUUGCUGUCACUUAUAGAUGGAUCCGCGCCGCAUUAGCUAGUUGGUAAGGUAACGGCUUACCAAGGCAACGAUGCGUAGCCGACCUGAGAGGGUGAUCGGCCACACUGGAACUGAGACACGGUCCAGACUCCUACGGGAGGCAGCAGUAGGGAAUCUUACGCAAUGGGCGAAAGCCUGACGGAGCAACGCCGCGUGAGUGAUGAAGGUCUUCGGAUCGUAAAACUCUGUUAUUAGGGAAGAACAAAUGUGUAAGUAACUAUGCACGUCUUGACGGUACCUAAUCAGAAAGCCACGGCUAACUACGUG